rnacentral:rRNA from 1 species
AGAGUUUGAUCAUGGCUCAGGAUGAACGCUAGCUACAGGCUUAACACAUGCAAGUCGAGGGGCAGCAUGGUCUUAGCUUGCUAAGGUCCGAUGGCGACCGGCGCACGGGUGAGUAACACGUAUCCAACCUGCCGUCUACUCUUGGGACAGCCUUCUAGAAAGGAAGAUUAAUACAAGAUGGCAUCAUGAGUUCACAUGUUCACAUGAUUAAAGGUUUCCGGUAGACGAUGGGGAUGCGUUCCAUUAGAUAGUAGGCGGGGUAACGGCCCACCUAGUCUUCGAUGGAUAGGGGUUCUGAGAGGAAGGUCCCCCACAUUGGAACUGAGACACGGUCCAAACUCCUACGGGAGGCAGCA